rnacentral:rRNA from 1 species
UACAGAGGUCUCAAGCGUUGUUCGGAUUCAUUGGGCGUAAAGGGUGCGUAGGUGGCGUGGUAAGUCGGGUGUGAAAUUUCGGAGCUUAACUCCGAAACUGCAUUCGAUACUGCCGUGCUUGAGGACUGGAGAGGAGACUGGAAUUUACGGUGUAGCGGUGAAAUGCGUAGAUGUCGUAAGGAAGACCAGUGGCGAAGGCGGGUCUCUGGACAGUUCCUGACGCUGAGGCACGAAGGCCAGGGGAGCAAACAGG